rnacentral:lncRNA from 1 species
AAUGCAUUUCAUGUUCAGACUUGGAUCCCAUCCCCAAGAGAACUCAUGUGCACCAUAAAAACAUUCCCGAUGCUGGAGGAUGAAAGGGAAACAGUUCCAUCCCCAAGCAUCUCGGGAAAGGAAUACUGACUCUCUACGCUCGCCGGCGGUGUGGCUGGUCUAGUGAGUUCAGUUGCUAUGGUAAGUUUUUCCUGAGUGUUGAAUAUAUCUGGAAGGACAUACUGGAAAUUCAUCUCACUCCUGGGAACAGAAAACCUCAGACAGACUCCCUGUCCUGGCAGAACAGUGGUGGGAAUUGUCAGCUCUGAGAGCCUCAGCCCAGAGCCCAGGGAUUCUCAGACUCAGGUGCCAACCAAGCCUCACACCUGCCUGCGCUAACAGCUCUGCACCCGCAGCCGCUCGUGUUCCUCACCAGGCCAAGCAGACCUGCCAAAAAACGGAAAGAAAGAAAAAACAAAAA